rnacentral:rRNA from 1 species
AUGUUGACUGCAGGGAAGGAAACGAUGCCCUCGGAGGCCGCCGCGGUGACGGCGGCGGCGGCGGAACAGGCAUCUGGAAGUUUCAAUGGCGAUAGGGGCCGUGAUCACGGUGCAGUACUAGAGGACAGGUUUGCUGGACUUAACCUCCGUGGGGAGGAAGAAGAGGAAUUAGACUUGUCUGGAGAGAUUGAAGAUCUGAUUGCUGAGACAAGAUGGGUGGCGAUCUUUAGGGUUCACACCCGAAAGCCAUUCAGCCAUGUGGCUCUGUUCAAGGCUAUGAGAAACGCAUGGAUCCCUGAACAGGGUGUGAUUUUCAAGGCUAAGAAGGAUAAUCUCUUCCUGGCUCAGUUUAUGUGCUUGGGGGAUUGGAAUCGUGUUAUGAAUGGUGGCCCAUGGAUAUUUAGGAACUCAGCUGUUGUUCUGGAGGAGUAUGAUGGACUGACGAACGUAGAAGAAUACAAAUUGGAUCGUAUCCCGGUAUGGGCGAGGAUUAUGGGCCUCUCAGAGGGCCUGAUGAAAAAAACUGAGAUCGCGGAGAAAAUUGCAAAGAAGGUUGGUGUUCCCCCCAUCAAGGUCGUUGUGAAUGAAGGGCGCAUUAACCCAAUGAAAUAUUUGCGAGCUCGAGUGUUUGUUAAACUAGAAACAUCCUUGGUCCGUUUUGUUCCUCUUACUCUGAAGGAGCUUAAGAGAUACCCGGUGGAGUAUGAAAAAUUCCCCGAUUUCUGUGAUUUUUGCGGGCUGAUUGGUCACGUAGUAACUGAAUGCGGUGAUGGCAUCCACAGGCCUGAAGAAUGUGAAUGGGGAGAAUGGUUACUUGUUAACUUUGAUGCCCCCAAUGACCGAGGCAGGGGGUCAGGCAGAGAGGAAAGGACUGCAGGAGAUGGAAGGGGUUUUGACAGAAGGGAUAGAAACCCACGAGAGCAGAAUCUGAAUGAGGACAAAGAUAUGGAGAUGGACUCAAAUCAAGGGGCUGUUAUACCCAGUGCUCGGAAGAGGUUAAUAGGACAGGAUGGCAAAGUUAAUAGUCCAAAUGUUGGCACAUCUUGGCUUCCUGGCACCCCCCCCCCCCACCGGGUUUUGUCAAUGACAAGGUGCAAUUGCUGGAAGGCAAUGGAAGUGAGACCAUUGAUAAGAGCACGAUGA